UUAAUGGACAGAUGGCCCAUGUGGCAAGAGA
rnacentral:piRNA from 2 species